GAUGAACGCUAGCGGCAGGCCUAACACAUGCGAGCCGAGCGGUAGCGACGCGUCGGGUUCUUGAGGGCGGCGUACGGGGGCGGAACACGUGUGUAACCUGCCUAUAUCAGGGGGAUAGCCUUUCGAAAGGAAGAUUAAUACCCCAUAAUAUAUUUGAUGGCAUCUUUAGAUAUUGAAAGCUUGAGCGGCUAGAGAUGGGCGCGCGCGAGAUUGGAUAGUAGGUGAGGUAACGGGUCACCAAGGCGAUGAACCCUCGGGGGCCUGAGAGGGUGAUCCCCCACCCGGGAACUGGGUCACGGACCAGACGCCUGCGGCAGGCAGCAGUGUGGAAUAUUGGACAGUGGGUUAGCGCCUGAUCCAGCCAUCCCGCGUGAAGGACGACGGCCCUGUGGGUUGUAAACUUCUUUUGUACAGGGAUAACCCUACUCUCGUGGGAGUAGCUGACGGUACUGUAAGAAUAAGCACCGGCUAACUCCGUG
rnacentral:rRNA from 1 species